UCGAAUCAAAUCACGUUUAUAUUUUUAGGUCAUUUAUUCCCAGUUUCAUUCUUGUAAACUUGUAUUCUCGGAGGCCACUUGCCGCGUUAGCUAAAUAUUCCAUAUUCAUAAACUUUGAUGAGAAUAAGUUGGGAAAAUCCACAAGAAGUUGCAUCUAGAGACAACAAUCUGAGAGAGAGUACACACAAAUCUUCCAUCUAGGCUAAGGUAGUAAUUGAAAAAAUAACACCACCUGUUUAAUCACACACUACUCCAUUCAAUAAAGGAAGAUGGGUAGGCAGACUAUUAAACCAUAACAAAGACACGCGAUGAAAAACAAGUAUUCUGGGGGUGUGUUGCAUCAUCAUCAUCCUCCCUCCCCCAAACUGACAUUCGGAUGAUUCACUGCAACGAAAAGAUUGAACCCACAAAUUAUUUUAUUUUAUUUCAAGUCGUGUAAUAAGUUCAUAUAAAUUAUAGGAAACGAAAGCAGCCU
rnacentral:lncRNA from 1 species